rnacentral:lncRNA from 1 species
GAAUAAAAUGUUCCCUUUCCCAUCCUCUCUAAUUUGUCCACCAUCUCAGGACUGCAGGGGAGAAACGAGUUGAAGACCCUGUCAAAUGUGUUACUCAGGGUAUUGCUGCCCAGGAAUGCGGAGGGUAUCCCCAUUCCCUCUUGGUAAAGGUCAUCAAGCUUGCCCAUGUCCCAAAACAGGACUUGAAAAUGGACUCAGCAUCCCACUUCCUCCAAACAAGGGAGUACAAUGAUAUGUGCUAGGAAUCAAUUGGGAGUAAAAUUCUUUUUCUCAGAGAUAAUGUAUUGGAAUGGGGAGAGGCUCAGGGUGGUGUUUUCUUUGGAAAACAGCAAGGUGUGGGGUUCCUACUGUGAUUUGAAUUGGAUCUGAGAUGUAUCAGAGGAAAACUAUACAGUAUUUGUCUCUUAGAUUUAGGGGAGUGAUUUUGAAUAGAAUAACUAGGUAGUUAUUGAAAAUUGGUCCAGACACCGAAAAAAAAAUUGAUGUGGGUGGUUCUGUUAGGAAGGGAGGCUUCAUUUACUGGAGAACAGGGAGGUUAAUUAAGAAGUAAGGGUGUUUGUAAGUAGGAUGCUGAGUGGAGGUGGUGAUGUUGUCCUUGUCAUUAAAUAUUUUCCUGAUAUGAAAAUAAUCUUAUGGUAGUUACUUAUGGAGAAGGUUGAUUUUCAUCAUCAGGCAUUCAUUUGUUCAUUGCAAAAUAAAAGUGUAUGUGCUGUGUGUGUGUCUGUGUUGUAUAUAUGUGUGUGUGUGUUCCCAAAAGUCAGAAGCAGAGGCUAUAGUGCCCAGUACAUAGAGAUUCAAAGCCUGGAUGGAUGGUUGGUUGGAUGGAUGGAUGGAUGGAUGGACAAACUGAUGGACAGGUGGAAGCAUGGAUGAUCUAUCACAGCUGGAGCCUCCAACUCUAGGACCUCUGAGUCUGAAUCCAAACAGGAAGGAGUGGAUUCAUUAGGUUUGGGGGAGUAUCAUUAAAAACUUUUUCAAGAAACAUUUGCAGCUACUUCUGGUUUAUUUCGGCUGGUUGUUUUUUUCCCAAGCCAAACUGGGGCAGGACCAUCUGUGACUUAUGCUUGGGGUUAUGGAAGGUGGUUUUCCCUUCCCUUUCACACAAUAACUGAGUAUCAUGCAGCCCUUCUGUUUCCUUCUCUGCCUUUCUGCAUCAAUUUUCAGCUUAUCUGAAUUCUCAUUGUGUAUGCUCAUGUGGGCCAAUUCCAUUACAUUGCUCCACAAAAGAGUUCUGGACUCCAUUUUCUACAGUAAUUUAGGUGACUUCAAUAUGAAUCAAAAGAAGCCAAAAGAAGCUGACUUCAAUAUGAAUCGAAAAGGAAUUAUGUUUGGCAGCUUUUUGAUAGCAAUUAUAGCAAUUAAGGAAGCACACUGUCACCGGUAGCGGUGGGUGCAGGACACCAAUGCCUUAGCCACAAUGAAUGUCAGAUGAGAGGGCGGGGACUGCUGGGCAUGGAGGACAUCGCUGGAGACUAACUCUUGGGGGGUGGGGGGCUUUGGCCUCUCAGAGGGAUUAAGUCUCUUAUUAUCAUUCAGAUAACUUUUGGCCUAAAGAUUGUUUAACUUAAUUACAUUAGCUUUCUUAUUAUCUUCAAUAAAGCUCUUUAACUACAAAGAGUAACUGGUCUUGGAGUUCCCAUCGUGGCACAGUGGAAAUGAAUCCAACUAGGAACCAUGAGGUUGCAGGUUCAAUCCCUGGCCUCGCUCAGUGGGUUAAAGAUCUGGUGUUGCCAUGAGCUGUGGUGUAGGUCACAGGCGUGGUUUGGACCUGGCAUUGCUGUGGCUGUGGUGUAGGCUAGCAGCUAUAGUUCCGAUUUGACCCCUAGCCUGAGAACUUCCAUAUGCCAAGGGUGUGGCACUAAAAAAAAAAAAGGAGAUACUGAUCUUUCUAGUUUUGUGCUUAAGAUGCUACACAGUAAUCAGUAAAAGAGUUUUGCUUAAGGUGCUGCACAAUAAUCAGUAAAUUUUCUCUGAAGGAGAAUGAACAAUGGUUUGAGAACAUGGAAAGAUUACAGAGUUUCUUACAGAGUUGUUAGACUUAUACCAACUAGAACUAAGGAGGGGAGCCUUUCCUGCUUCAAGUCUCCAGCUGAUUCCUGAGCUCAAUCUAAGAGAAGCAUGCUAAGCAGAGUUCUAGGAGUCAUAUAUAGUGAAUUCAUGAUUUCUCAACAGCUUCUUUUAGCCUAGCUAUACUUUCUAACAUUCACUGGAUAAUUGCCCAACACUUUUGAAUUGAUUCAUUGCUUCUUACAUAAGGGAAGCCACAUUACUGAGGUAUGGCAAGUUCCAAAAAGUAAGACAUUAAGAAAAUGAAGUUGGUUUUUUUUUUUUUUUUCAACCUCGAGGCCACCAAUGCUUAUUCCAAACUUUAAAUCUUUAAAGAUCAAAAGUCCUGCUAGAGGAUAAAGCAUACCAAAGCCAUAGAGAAACGUUAGUUUUGGCAAGAUGAGCAAAGAGAAGUGGGAAGAAAAGAAGCAAACAAAAUACAGAGAGGAAAUUCUACCUUAACUCUCCUCACAGAAGUUUCAUUAAAAAACAACAAACAAUCAGCCAGCCGUCUUUUUAUAUCAUUGAAAAAAUAAUUACAAGAAAAAUAUUUAAAAUGAGCGACCUCUUCAGGCUCUGCUCUUUUUAAUGUAGGAAAUUCUAAAGUUUCGUGGAAUUUAAUCUCUUAGGGAAUUAAUCAGAAAGUCCAAAUGCUCACAGCCUCCGGGCCUGGCACGGCUGAUUCUCUCCUUCUAGGUAAGAAAUACACUCACUCUGCAUAACUGUGAAUAUGCUACUAGGUGAAACCCCAACCCUGAAACAUAAUGAUUCGAUUUAGUGGUCUUUAAUAAGGGCACCAAGUCCAAUUCUCCAAUAAGAGAGUUAAGAAAUCAUUCCAUUGGGUUUGCCUAAUAGCAACAGCAGAAAUAUAGCUCAAAUCCCUUGCCAAAGUUGUUGAUUUCCAUUAGCUCUGAAACAUAAAACCAUGUCAGGUUACAUAAUAACACCAUUUGCAGAGCUGAAUCAGGUCUAAGAACAUGUCUUCUUUUUCUAACACAUAUAUGCCAAUGGUAAACACACAGGGGUAGAGUAAAAAACUGCUUCUUUUCCAUGUUUUAUCUCACCUCAAAUUUACCUGGCCUUGAGGAGCUAGUGCUCUAGGUAAGUUGAGUUCUAUACAAUCUAAGGUGGUAGUUCCUUUUGCUAGUAGAAUCCAUAAGAGUAGGAUGAAUAAUGAAAAUUAUGUUUCAAAGUAAAAUCUCCCCAAAUCUGCCCUGUACAUCCAGUUUAAACCUAACUGCAGCAUUUGGCCUGCAGUCAAAGUAAGAACGAAAUCCAACUGCAGCCUGUAUUUGGGUACACCUGAAUUUAUGGCUUAUUUCUCCGCUUGCUUCAUUCUCCAUGGGACAGAGCUGAGUAUGCUUCAUUUUCGUUGAGAGCAACCCAACUCCAGGCCACAAAAAUCAAUAGGAACCCUGUACUCAUUUUGGCUGCAAAGCUAGAGAACAAGGUGAGAAAUGGUCCCUAGGUUAAUAAAAGGAAAUGGAGAACAUGGACACACACUCACCCAUAUACAGGCAAUUGAAUUCACUUCCACACAGGCUGCCAGAGGAAGCUUAUUGCAAACCGAGUUGGCACAGAGCACAGAAAGUGAUCAGCUGUCAUGAACAUAAUAAAAAUGACCACCCUCCUCCUCCUUCUCCUCAAAAAAUGAUGGCGAAGAAAGACCAACAAAAUUAAUGUGAAUAGCAUCUGUGGGUAUCAUCAAGGACAGCAGUUCUCAUCCCUGGCUAAGAUUUGAGUGACUUGAAAAGUUAUUAAAAAAAAUAUAUAGACAUAGAUCUAUCAUGUAGUACUUUGGGGAGAGGAAAAGUGAAAGCAGUAACAAUCUAAUCUGUCAGAGAUGAAUGGAGCAUUCAUGUCCUAAAAAUCUCAGAUCUGGGUCCUUUCUCUGGAGAAUAGCUCAAGUGUUGUAUAGCAGGUUUGGGUGGUGUAUGUGUGUGCAUGCAUGCCAGGCAAGGUAUGUGAAUAUUUAAUAUCAACAUCCCAGGGAUAUGGCUGCAAUUGAGGAAUAGUUCACUCUCAGAAGCAAGUGCAAAGAAAUCCUGACUUUCUAUCUGAUUUGCCUUAUAUCCUUCUCAGUGUUAAUAGAGUAAUCUCUUUGCACAUGGGCAAGGAAAGACCGUACUCUGGUAUAGUAUGAAUAUUUUUAUAAAGAACAUUUUACAACCUAGAAUAGAUUUACAAGGAGAUCCUGCUGAAUAGCAUUGAGAACUAUGUCUAGAUACUCAUGUUGCAACAGAAGAAAGGGUGGGGGAAAAAACUGUAACUGCAAUGUAUACAUCUAAGGAUAACCUGACCCCCUUGCUGUACAGUGGGAAAAAAAAAAAAAAAGAACAUUUCCAGAAGGCCAGAGCAGUGCUUCAUAUCUCUCCCAUAGAUUCAGGCAAACAACUUUUAUCCACGUGCAAAUAUCUCAUUGGAGCAGCACUGUCUUCUGGUUGCUAUCCUCCUCUGGGAAAACUCCAGGAACCCACAGAAGGGACUCAUUUCAACCUUCUAUGUGUUCAUGAAAGUUGCUGAGAGUACCUCUUCUGUCUGAAGUGUUAAGUCGGGAGAAAACACCCAUCAGGGUAAGAGUGAGACCUGUUGCCAGGUAGGCACAGUGUUAAACUCUUUAUGUACAUCAUCACAUUUAACCCUCACUUUAAGCCUCUAUGUUUUAUAGAUGAGGAGACUGAGACACAAAGGACAAGAGUGAUUUGCCCAAGUACCAAGUGUGGGGCUCUUGUUCUUAAGCAUGUACUUCUCUGCACUGGGGAGGGUUUCCAUGACCAGCCUAGUUCUUUGCAGUCUUGAACUAGUUAACUGAUGUCUCUGAGAAGGACCAAUUCCAUGCAGCAAAACCCCAAGCAAGAAGUGUGACAUAACUUGCUCAGAGCUGACAAGGCUUUUCUUUUGAUGACCUAUAUGUUUCCUUCCAUAUGUUUUGCUUGACACAUAUGUUCCAAACACACAUUCCCAACAAUAUGUUCCUGACACACACAUUGUAGACACUGACUUUAGCAGAACUCUCUCUUCUGCUUAGCUGACCACUUGCAAGGGUCAUUUAUAGAGAAGUUUAUUUCUUCCUCUGCUACAUGGUGAUAUGAGCACAGAGUUCUAAGUCAGUUAGAGGUGUAAAUCCUGGGCCAAUGGCAUAAUUAUCUCGAGUUCAAGAUGUGAUAAAACCAGAAGGCUGGCCCAGCAUUGAGACUCAGUGGGAGAAAGGUAUGGUUCUGGGUCUGUGGGGCCGCAGACAAAGCAAUGUGACUGUGUGAUAAAGCAGAAGCCAUAAGCUGAACAUUGCAGCUCAGAUGACAAAGGGUGCAAAGUCCUCUAAGCUGAGUAUGUGAAAAGUCAUCUCUCCUUGAAGGCUAUCAUGAAAGCAAUCUGUACAACCGGCAUCCAUGCAAUUGCUGGAAAAGAGACCUGUAGGGCAGUGGUCCCCAAGUGGAGCCUGCCUCUUGAGGUCCUCACCCUCCACUGGUAUUGUUCCUCCACUAUCCAUGCCUGUGAGAUGACUGAUUCCAGCACCUCUUCCAGGCCUCUCUCCCUGAAGCAGCCUAAUACACCAUGUGCUGGGUGUUGAAUAGGGGAAUCGGAAGAGUUUUAAUGAGAAGGGUCUUGGCCAGCCAGACUGCGGGCUGCUGUCAUUGAAUGUAACCUUGGAAGUGAGUCAGGCUGGUCAUAAAGAAUUCCAACUGUUUGAAGCAAAUUGGUGCCCUCAUGUCCAGGCUUCUGAGAAGCAGAGCACUAGAAUCUGCCCCACCUCAGUGCAUUGUACCAGCCUGCCAUGGGCACCAUCUACUCAACCAUCAGCACCCCUGUGUCAUAACAAGUGCUCUGAGAUGGGACUGGAAUGGACACUUGACAAGCACUGGGAGUCCUGGACUCAAUGGAAAGAGGUUGAUCUGUGAAAGAGCGUUAGAUUGGACUUUUGGACUUCCAACUAUUACCAAAAAGUGGGUUUUCUGACACUCUUGUCUAGAAAAUGAUGGAAACAAGCUACUUCACUUAUAGAACCUGUCUCACGAUGUGCUCUAAAACUAGAAAUUAGCCAAGUGUUUGUUUCCAAGUGACUGGAAACACAAAUUGUAGUGACUCCAUGUAAAUGGUGUACUCCUCAGCAAUGAAAAGGAAUGAACUCUAUUAUUAGUUAUAAUAGCAUGGAUCAAUCUCAAAAUAGUUAUUCUGAGUAAAGAAGUCAGACUAAAAAGAGGCUAUAUUGUUUGAUGGUUCCAAUUAUAUAAAAUGCUAGAAAAUAGAAACCAAUCUAUAGUGACAGAAAGCAGAUGACUGGUUGGUUGCCUGGGCAUAGCGCUGUGGGCCAGAGAGAGGUAGGAGUAAGGGAUUGCGGGGUACAUUAGGAAACCUUUGGGGUGAUAGCUAUGUUCAUUAUUGAUUGUGGUGAUAG